rnacentral:rRNA from 1 species
UACGUAGGGUGCAAGCGUUACUCGGAAUUACUGGGCGUAAAGCGUGCGCAGGCGGCUUUGCAAGACAGAUGUGAAAUCCCCGGGCUUAACCUGGGAACUGCAUUUGUGACUGCAUGGCUAGAGUGCGGCAGAGGGGGAUGGAAUUCCGCGUGUAGCAGUGGAAUGCGUAGAUAUGCGGAGGAACACCGAUGGCGAAGGCAAUCCCCUGGGCCUGCACUGACGCUCAUGCACGAAAGCGUGGGGAGCAAACAGG